AUUGAACGCUGGCGGCAUGCCUUACACAUGCAAGUCGAACGGUAACAGGUCUUCGGAUGCUGACGAGUGGCGAACGGGUGAGUAAUACAUCGGAACGUGCCUAGUAGUGGGGGAUAACUACUCGAAAGAGUGGCUAAUACCGCAUGAGAUCUACGGAUGAAGGCAGGGGAUCGCAAGACCUUGUGCUACUAGAGCGGCCGGUGGCAGAUUAGGUAGUUGGGUGGAUAAAAGCUUGCCAAGCCGACGAUCUGUAGCUGGUCUGAGAGGACGAUCAGCCACACUGGGACUGAGAAACGGCCCAGACUCCUACGGGAGGCAGCAGUGGGGAAUUUUGGACAAUGGGCGCAAGCCUGAUCCAGCAAUGCCGCGUGCAGGAUGAAGGCCUUCGGGUUGUAAACUGCUUUUGUACGGAACGAAAAGCCCCGGGUUAAUACCCUGGGGUCAUGACGGUACCGUAAGAAUAAGCACCGGCUAACUACGUGCCAGCCGCCGCAGUAA
rnacentral:rRNA from 1 species